rnacentral:lncRNA from 1 species
CCCUUCCUUCGGCCCCGCCCAGCCCCGCCGGCCGCCCGCUCCCUGGGGAACCGAGGGAGGAAUGGGCGGGGUCCUCAGGUGCCCGGCGACGUCAUCCAGCCCCCAAGGCUCCAGGACGCAAAGGGUCCCCUGAUCUGGCAGUCCCUGGACCUACCCUGGAGAGCGUGGGGGGACAAAGGCCGGACGCGCCGCCCGCUGCCGCCUCCAGGAAGCCCUCCCUUGCCAGGACAGUGGAGUUGGCCGGCUGAACAGGAAAAGGAACAGUCCUUCCAAAGUGCCUACGGAAAGCUUUGUCCCAUCCUUGAAAAAUUGCUAAUGGGUUUGGAGAUACGAGGUGGAGAUGACUAGCAAUCAAACUCAAAGGUGGAAGUCACAUCGAGGCAGAUGAGCAGAUGAGGGGACCUAGAGAAGAAGAGAGGUGCAAGGAGAGCCCAGCCAGCAGGAACAUCUGCCCCAGUAGGCAGCACUGCCCCACAUCAGAGUCGAGGAAAGCAAAGCUCGGAUUGGAUAAAAGAAACUUGCAAACACGGUCAGUGCUUACUGCAUGUGGGCUCAGAGCACGUUACCCUCCUUCCCUGCAUGUUCCUGUGAAACGGGUUUACUGCUCUAACUCUCAGGGACACUGUGAAGACCAAACGAGAAAAUAGAAACAAACAUAAUUUAUAAACCAUAAAGUACUGACACCAAAAGAGGGGCGAGCACAGCAUUGUGAAUGUGCUGGUACUAAAUGGUUUGUUUUAAGAUGAUUUUAUGGUGUGUGAAUUUCACUUGAAUAAAUUUUUUUAAUGGAGUUCAUGGGGACGCUGCAGGAUGUCAAUUAACUUUGGACAUUUUAGCAGCGCUUUAGGUGUUAAAAUUAUUUUUUAAAAAAUACAGGAUGAAGGGAAAAGCUUCAUGACAUUGGAUUUGGCAGUGAUUCCUUGGAUAUGACCCCAAAAGCACAGAUAACGAAAGAAAAAAUAGUUAAAUUGUCUUCAUCAAAAUUAAAACUUUUGUACAUCAAAGAACUCUUUCAAAAGAGUGAAAAAGUCACAGAAUAAGAGAAAAUCAUAUACCUGAUAAAGAAUUAAUAUUCAGAGCCAGAUGCAGUGGCUCAUGCCUGUAAUCCCAGCACUUUGGGAGGCCAAGGCAGGCAGAUCACUUGAGAUCAGGAGUUCGAGACAAGCCUGGCUAAAAUGGUGAAACCCCAGCUCUACUAAAAAUACAAAAAUUAGCCAGGCGUGGUGGCGUGCACCUGGAAUCCCAGCUAUUCGGGAGGCUGAGGCAGGAGAAUCGCUUGAACUCAGAAGGCAGAGGUUGCAGUGAGCCAAGAUCACACCACUGCACUCCAGCCUGGGCGACAAAGUGAGACUCCAUCUCAAAAAAACAAAACAAAACAAAACAAAACAAAGAGUUACUAUUCAGAAUAUAUUAAGAAUUCCUACAACUCAACAACAAAAAAAAAUCCAACCCAAUUAAAAAAUGGGCAACAGACCCAAAUAGACAUUUCUUAGAAGACACACAAAUGGCCAAUAAGCUCAUGAAAACAUGUUUAACAUCACUAAUCAUUAGGGAAAUGCAAAUCAAAGCUAAAAUGAGAUACCACGUCACACUCAUUAGGUGUUAUUUUUUAAAAAUAACACAACAACAAAAAAUAAGAAAUGUGGGCGAGGAUGUGAAGAAAUUGAAACCCUUGUGGACUGUUGUUGGGGAUGUAAAAUGGCGCAGCUGCUGGGGAAAACAGUAUGGGAGUUCCUCACAAAACUAAACAGAAUUGCCAAACGACCCAGCGAUCCUGCCUCUGACAUAUACUGGAAAGAACUGAAAUAAGGCGCUGGAACAGACACUUGUAACCCAUGUUCACAGCUGAGCCAAAAGGUGGGAGUAACCCAAAUGUCCAUCAGUGGAUGAAUACUGGCAAUAAAAGCUGUGUCUGGAGGCCACUCCGUUUCACACAGCUCUCCACACGGGUGAGGGCACAGCCUUCUCGUCUCUUUCCUAUGCUGCAUCUUCAGAGCUAGCUAUGAUAUGAUAUGAUGUGAUAUGUACAUAUCGAAUAUACAUGUUUUACAUGCAAA